ACUGUGGGACCGCCGCUGCUAAAGCGGAGGAAGGAAUGGGCAACGGUAGGUCAGUAUGCCCCGAAUAUCCCGGGCUACACGCGAGCUACAAUGGUUGGUACAAUGGGUAUCUACCCCGAAAGGGGACGGGAAUCUCCUAAAACCAAUCUUAGUUCGGAUUGAGGGCUGCAACUCGCCCUCAUGAAGCUGGAAUCCGUAGUAAUCGCGUUUCAACAGAACGCGGUGAAUACGUCCCUGCUCCUU
rnacentral:rRNA from 1 species